rnacentral:rRNA from 1 species
UACGGAGGGGGCUAGCGUUGUUCGGAAUUACUGGGCGUAAAGCGCGCGUAGGCGGACCUGCAAGUCGGGGGUGAAAGCCCGAGGCUCAACCUCGGAACUGCCUUCGAUACUGCGGGUCUCGAGUCCGGGAGAGGUGAGUGGAAUUCCUAGUGUAGAGGUGAAAUUCGUAGAUAUUAGGAAGAACACCAGUGGCGAAGGCGGCUCACUGGCCCGGUACUGACGCUCAUGUGCGAAAGCGUGGGGAGCAAACAGG